ensembl:lncRNA
GGAAAGACCUGAAUCACCUCUCAAGCUCUGGUUCUCCCUGGCUGUUUAGAUACCAGGGAAGGUUUGAGUUGGCCCUGUGGGAUCAACUGUCACUCCAGCCCCACUGGAAAUUUCCAUUUUAAUCUGGGAAAAGAGGGAAAUCUACCACUAGGAGGGUGAGCUUCGCGCAACUCUUGCAGCCAAACGUCCUCACAACUGAAGCAGGAAGUGGCUUUUCUAUCUUCAGGGAAUGGUUGUUUCUGGGACCGUCCUUCACAGGCUUGCAGUACAAUUUGCAGGGAAGAUCAUGAUAACUUUAGCUGGCUUUCUUCAUCCACUGAAGCAACUGUGAUACCAGACAAGCCAAGAAUCCAUGGAAUCCUGAAUACAUUGCUCUGGUUUCCAGCCUGACAAACACUACAGGGAAUCUUUGUGUGCCUGCGUUUGAUCAUUAUAAUUAUCCCAAAGCCCCACAGUCCAGAUACAGUUCCUGAAGCCUUGCAGAAUCACCCAGACCAUUUUCUGAACUGAACCAGUGUCUGGGUGUGGAGGAUCCACCUGAGGAUUGUUGCCAACAGCCAUAAAAAGAGAACUGGAGGGGAAGAUCGAAGGCUGUUGAUUUUCUAGGAGCAGCUUGUGUGGAUGGUCUUCCUGAUAGGAACUCGGCUGUUUUCAUCAGAGGGGGAGCUCAGGCCUCACUGUGGCUGGGAAUGGCUGCUGUUCUGUCAGGGGAGCUCUGAUCUUCACCGUGAGCAUCACUUCCUGGCUCCAGUAUGGAUCCCUCAGCCUGUGGCACAAAUCCUUCACCCCACCGGCAUAGGCUUUCUGGCUCCCACCACUGGCCUUUGGGCCUUCAGGUGCAGAUCCUCAAUACUGACAAGCGUGAGACGUUGCCAUGGGCUCUGGGCCUCUGGCUGGACUCAUGGAGGACACUGCCUUGGGCUCUAAGCCUUUAGCUGGACUUGUGUGGGAAAUUGCUGAUCCAGGCUCUCGGCUAGAUUCUUUGGGCCCCUAAUGUGUGGCUAAUCUCUUGCACUCCUUUGCAUUUGACUUUUGG